GACGAACGCUGGCGGCGUGCUUAACACAUGCAAGUCGAACGGAAAGGCCCCCAUCUUGGUGGGGGUGCUCGAGUGGCGAACGGGUGAGUAACACGUGGGUGAUCUGCCCUGUACUUCGGGAUAAGCUUGGGAAACUGGGUCUAAUACCGGAUAGGACCAUGGUUUAGUGUCUCAUGGUGGAAAGAUUAUUGUUUUGGUGCAGGAUGAGCUCGCGGCCUAUCAGCUUGUUGGUGGGGUAAUGGCCUACCAAGGCGUCGACGGGUAGCCGGCCUGAGAGGGUGGACGGCCACAUUGGGACUGAGAUACGGCCCAGACUCCUACGGGAGGCAGCAGUGGGGAAUAUUGCACAAUGGGCGCAAGCCUGAUGCAGCGACGCCGCGUGGGGGAUGACGGCCUUCGGGUUGUAAACUCCUUUCGUUAGGGACGAAGCCGCACUUUUUUGGGUGUGGUGACGGUACUUUUGUGAAGAAGCACCGGCUAACUACGUG
rnacentral:rRNA from 1 species